CAACCCUCAAGCACAGCUUGGGUAUUGGGCUCCGCUACUUACCUAGCGGGUCUUAAAAUCAGUGGCGGCGCCAUCGAGGCCCUGAGCGUAGUAAAUAUCCUCGCUAUAGGGACUCGGUGGACACUAGCCAUCAACCCCCAACUUUCUAAGU
rnacentral:misc_RNA from 1 species